rnacentral:rRNA from 1 species
UGAUGACGAGACGCUAAGGCGUUGAAGCAGUGUAUGUCAGACUUCCAAGAAAAGCUCGCAAUGUCACAAAUAAAAGAUGCCUGUACCAUAACCGACACAGGUGGGUAGGUAGAGUAUACUAAGGGGCGCGAGAUAACUCUCUCUAAGGAACUCGGCAAAAUGACUCCGUAACUUCGGGAGAAGGAGUGCCUUAUUUAUAAGGUUGCAAUAACAAGAUCCAAGCAACUGUUUAUCAAAAACACAGGUCUCCGCUAAGUCGUAAGACGAUGUAUGGGGGCUGACGCCUGCCCAGUGCCAGAAGGUUAAAGAAGUUGGUUAGUGUAUGCGAAGCUGAUGACUGAAGCCCUGGUGAACGGCGGCCGUAACAAUAACGGUCCUAAGGUAGCGAAAUUCCUUGUCGGGUAAGUUCCGACCCGCACGAAAGGCGUAAUGAUUUGGAUACUGUCUCGGAGAGAGGCUCGGUGAAAUAGACUUGUCUGUGAAGAUGCGGACUACCUGCACCAGGACAGAAAGACCCUAUGAAGCUUUACUGUAACUUGAAAUUGGAAUUGGACUUUGCUUGCGCAGUAUAGGUGGGAAGCGUUGAAAAUAUUCUUGCGGGAGUAUUGGAGCUAUCAGUGAGAUACCACUCUUGUAAUGUUAGAUUUCUAACUUUGAACCAUAAUCUGGUCAAAGAACAGUUUCAGGUGGGCAGUUUGACUGGGGCGGUCGCCUCCCAAAUGGUAACGGAGGCGUACAAAGGUUUCCUCUGAACGGAUAGAAAUCGUAUCUAGAGUGUAAAGGCAUAAGGAAGCUUGACUGUGAGACCUACAAGUCGAGCAGGGACGAAAGUCGGUCUUAGUGAUCUGACGGUACUGAGUGGAAAGGCCGUCACUCAACGGAUAAAAGUUACUCUAAGGAUAACAGGCUGAUCUCCCCCAAGAGUUCACAUCGACGGGGAGGUUUGGCACCUCGAUGUCGGCUCAUCGCAUCCUGGGGCGGUAGUACGUCCCAAGGGUUGGGCUGUUCGCCCAUGAAAGCGGUACGCGAGCUGGGUUCAGAACGUCGUGAGACAGUUCGGUCCAUAUCCGGUGUAGGCGCUAGAAUAUUGAGAGGAGCCUUCUUUAGUACGAGAGGACCGAGAAGGACACACCGCUGGUGUACCAGUUAUCGUGCCAACGGUAAACGCUGGGUAGCUAUGUGUGGAGUGGAUAACCGCUGAAAGCAUCUAAGUGGGAAGCCCACCUCGAGAUGAGUAUUCUCAUCACUAUAAGUGAGUAAGGUCACGGUAAGACUAACCGUUUGAUAGGUAUUAAGUGUAAAUGUAGUAAUGCAUGUGCUGAGAUGUCCUAACAGACCGAGGACUU